GUACCUUAUCCCCACUACGGAACGUUCGGCACGUACCUGCCGAUGGAGGACCACAUG
rfam:Corynebacterium sp. HMSC08D02 Corynebacterium_spHMPREF3170-1.0_Cont181.2, whole genome shotgun sequence.